rnacentral:ncRNA from 2 species
UACGAAGGGGGCUAGCGUUGUUCGGAAUUACUGGGCGUAAAGCGCACGCAGGCGGACUGAUUAGUCAGGGGUGAAAUCCCGGGGCUCAACCCCGGAACUGCCUUUGAUACUGUCAGUCUCGAGUCCGGGAGAGGUGAGUGGAAUUCCUAGUGUAGAGGUGAAAUUCGUAGAUAUUAGGAAGAACACCAGUGGCGAAGGCGGCUCACUGGCCCGGUACUGACGCUCAGGUGCGAAAGCGUGGGGAGCAAACAGG